AGUUACAAUCUUGGCAAUGUAAGGAAAGAUUAGAAGGCGAUCCACCGGUUAACGACCUUUUAUGUUCCAUUAGCCUCUGAUUGAUACACCGUCCUGUUUGCCCAAGGUAGAACUGGCCACAGCUAAGGGGAAUUUUAUAAACCACACCCAUACGACAAUCAGUAAAACUGUUUUUCUUAUUGUGCUUCAUUGAACAAAUAUGUGUUCGUUUUUUGCCUUUUACCUGCUCCUUUUUCCUAUGUACGGCAGCGCAUAUCUUACCUAGCUUAUUGGGAGCAGUGAAAGCAACAUUAACAUCACCUCUACUUGCAACUUUUUAAAAAAAGCCUGUGCGACAGCCUGAAUGAAUAUACGGAAUAGCCACUACUCUUCUUUUUUUUUUUUUGCUAUUACUGCUUUCCGUAAUCACGUCCGUCCCCCUCGAAACCGACUUCUUUAGGCGCUCAGCCACAGUGGCCACUGCUUCACUAGGAUAACCUGCUUCUAAUAGGCGCCGGACCUGCACAUUAAAACUGGCGCUCAUUUUGUGCAUGCAUGAUUCUGGUGAGAGAAGACUUAAGGCACAACAUGGCAAUUCCAUUUUUUACUACAUUGGAAUGCUUGGAUUGAAAGUUUAGCAAUGGCUUCGAAGAUCUUUGGGAGUACUGCCAGCAAACAUGAUUUUGUUCGAAGGCCAAGGAAAUGUCAAGCACCAGCGCAGAAGACUCGUUCUUCUGACCUCGUCUUGUUAUCCACGACUUCGGGUACACUUUUACUGUUCACCCCUUUUUUCCUUAUUUUAUUUUUUCUUUACGAUUUAUUUAAUUUAUUCCCGCCCCCUCUAUUGUAUGGGAGAGGCAAGCGAAGGUGGUGAGGACUCGUUCAGCGACUGCGUCGGUUCUACCCAUAUUCUCCCUCCCCUCCUCUCUUCCAGUCUAGCUUCCCUCUGGCCUUACACAUUCAUAAACGUGCAGGCGCUGCUUUUGCGGGAUAUCACGCGGAUCCAUUUCACCGGGGAGCUCGAGAUGGUAUUUUGCACAUUGGACACGGUGCAAAGUUCGGAAGCGUGUCUCGGUCUCCUUUAUUCUCUGCCAUCCAUGCUCUUUCCGAGAAUAUACACCCUCUGAACCACCAUGACUCAGCCUGCAAUACCGCAGCCCAUCGAAAUUGAAGUGUCGUUUCGCGCCGGUCAUACCUUCUCCGAAUUGAGAAGGGAGGGGAAAGGGGUACAUGUUCGUCCAGUAUGUCAGAACAAAGGAAAACUUCGACACAAGUUUAUCUGCCUCCUGCGGUUCGAGGGAGAGGAGAAAAUCGUAGAACGAGGACACGCCUACGUUGAAGAGCCAACCAAGCGUGACCGUAAGUGGGCAUGUGCCAAAUACUUUCAAGGUCGUCAACAUAGUAAAAAAAGCAAUGCCCAUGCCUUCUGCGGUAGCACACUUCACGAGCACGCCAUAAAACAAGCCGCUGCACAGCAAACGGCAGCUACUCGACCAUCGAAGAUCUACUGAAGUCGCGCUCCCUACGAUACACUCCGCCAACUGCGCUUGUGCCUCGAGGAUGGCGUCUUCGGGCCGUGCUUCCACCUCCGCUGCUGCUGGACUCGAACCUAGUCUGUACGGCUACGCCAUGCUUAUGGGAGUCGGUUGCAAGCUGCCGACGAGCACCAGCAGCAGCGACGACAGCAGCAGUAGCAGCAGCGACGACAGCAGCAGUAGCAGCUCUUCCAGCAGUGACAGCGACGUCGCGCCGGCCGGCCCGUCCAAGUCAAAGGACAUCGAAAGCGUGCCGUCCACUUCCAGCGCCGCAGCCGUCGUCGUUGGGAGCGAGCCACCGGCCGGCCCGUCCCAGUCGAGAGACAUCGAACGCGUGCCGUCCACCUCCGGCGCCGCAGCAGCCGUCGUUGGGAGCGAGCCACCGGCCGGCCCGUCCCAGUCGAGAGACAUCGAAAGCCUGCCGUCCACCUCCGGCGCCGCAGCCGUCGUCGUUAGGAGCGAGCCAAAGGUCUGGAUUCAGCCAAACCUCGUCCGUCCGGCGGACUUUCCUAGUGACCACUGGGACAUGGUUCAUGACUGGAGCGAUUGGCCCCAGUUCCCUCCCAAAAAGAACGCGAAUCAGCAUCGGGCGAUCGUGGACAGUCUGCCGGCCAAGCUUCCCCAUGUCACCCUCGUCAACCAGCACGAGUUCCCGCUGCGUAGGAUGGAACUGCUGAUACACACCCAGGGCAGGCGAGUGUUUUUUACAGCCGACGUGUUUUCGCGCCGUAGUGCACGAGGGCGAUCUCAAAACGGUUCGCAUUCAGAAGCGUUGCAAUAUCGCACUCCACAGGGCAGCGUGCUGGCUUCCGUUGUUGGCAUGAGCGUUCCGAGCACGCAUUAGCGUUCCUGCCGAGAAGCCUCACAUGCCACAUCGUGGUGUACAUGCUGGUCUGAAAAAAAAAAAAAAAGAAGCAGUGGGCAGUAAACACGCGAACGAUAAUCACUCUCAUUUGGCGAAGGCAUCCAUGCAGUUUAAACCGAUUCAGCAGUGCUGAGAGCAAGCUGGUUGGGUCGCCCAUUUUCGCAACUACAGGCAGCGCGUUAUUGAGAUACGAGGAACAAUCGCCUAUGCACGACCCACGCAUAUUGCUGUCUGUUCAUGUCUUUCUCAGCAUGGCAUCGUGCAAUCAUCGUCUUUUAGCUGCUCGUUUCGACACGUGCAUGCGUAUCCAUCGCGUGACAACGGUGUUCGUCAAAAAUAACCGUGCCUCGACUAUCUCCCUCGCAUGCAGGUUCAUGAACCCAGCGCCUGAGUUUCGGAUUACAAACUUGGUGGAUAAGUGGCAGUACACGGCCUGGCUCACCUUCACGGAUUCCACUGGGCACCAAUGCGUUGGUCAGUACUGCCACCCGGAUUCACCGCGGCCCGGUUUUUGGUUGAAGGGCCGGGUGCUGUCGUUUUCCAACCUCAAGCUCUUCUCCAACGAGAACAACAUCCCGAACCCGCCUCCGAUCAGCCUGAGGUGUUACCGCACUUACCGUAUCCAAGUGAAUGUUGGAAUUGUGGACGAUUACGGACACAUCAUCA